GAUUCAGCAUAUCAAAGAAGCCCAAAAAUUCAAAUUUUGUUAAAAUCAAACUAGUUUAAUUUUGGACCCUUUGGACCUUAAUUUAGACCAAUUUGAAAACAGGACCAAAAAUUAAGAAUCUAAAUACACGGUUAGAUUUGGCAUAUCAAAGAACCCCAAUAAUUCAUUUUUGAUGAAAUCAAACAAAGUUUAAUUUUGGCCCCUUUUGGCCCCUAAUUCCUAAACUGUGGGGACCAAAACUCCCAAAAUCAAUUCC
rnacentral:lncRNA from 1 species